rnacentral:rRNA from 1 species
AGAGUUUGAUCCUGGCUCAGGAUAAACGCUGGCGGUGUACAUAAGACAUGCAAGUCGAACGGGAGAAGACAGGAAGAUUUAUCUACUUGUUGGACACCGUGGCGGACGGGUGAGUAACACGUAAGCAACCUGCCUAUAAGAGGGGAAUAACAGUGAGAAAUUACUGAUAAUACCGCAUAAGCUGAAGGUAUCGCAUGAUACAUUCAGAAAAGAUUUAUCGCUUAUAGAUGGGCUUGCGCCUGAUUAGCUAGUUGGUGAGAUAACAGCUCACCAAGGCGACGAUCAGUAGCCGGAUUGAGAGGUUGAACGGCCACAUUGGGACUGAGACACGGCCCAGACUCCUACGGGAGGCAGCA